rnacentral:rRNA from 1 species
UGGGGAAUAUUGCACAAUGGGCGCAAGCCUGAUGCAGCCAUGCCGCGUGUAUGAAGAAGGCCUUCGGGUUGUAAAGUACUUUCAGCGGGGAGGAAGGGAGUAAAGUUAAUACCUUUGCUCAUUGACGUUACCCGCAGAAGAAGCACCGGCUAACUCCGUGCCAGCAGCCGCGGUAAUACGGAGGGUGCAAGCGUUAAUCGGAAUUACUGGGCGGAAAGCGCACGCAGGCGGUUUGUUAAGUCAGAUGUGAAAUCCCCGGGCUCAACCUGGGAACUGCAUCUGAUACUGGCAAGCUUGAGUCUCGUAGAGGGGGGUAGAAUUCCAGGUGUAGCGGUGAAAUGCGUAGAGAUCUGGAGGAAUACCGGUGGCGAAGGCGGCCCCCUGGACGAAGACUGACGCUCAGGUGCGAAAGCGUGGGGAGCAAACAGG